AUUGAACGCUGGCGGCAGGCCUAACACAUGCAAGUCGAGCGGAGCGGCGGACGGGUGAGUAAUGCCUAGGAAUCUGCCUGGUAGUGGGGGAUAACGUCCGGAAACGGGCGCUAAUACCGCAUACUAUCAGAUGAGCCUAGGUCGGAUUAGCUAGUUGGUGGGGUAAAGGCCUACCAAGGCGACGAUCCGUAACUGGUCUGAGAGGAUGAUCAGUCACACUGGAACAGAGACACGGUCCAGACUCCUACGGGAGUCAGCAGUGGGGAAUAUUGGACAAUGGGCGAAUGCCUGGGCCAGCCAUGCCGCGUGUGUGAAGAAGGGCUUCGGAUUGUAAAGCACUUUAAGUUGGGAAGCGUUACCAACAGAGUAAGCACCGGCUAAGUUCGUGACAGCCUCCGCGGUAAUAA
rnacentral:rRNA from 1 species